GGAUAUUGUUGCAUUGUCUGGGGGUCACACUUUGGGAAGAGCACAUCCAGAGAGAUCUGGUUUUGAUGGACCUUGGACAGAGGACCCUCUGAAAUUUGAUAACUCAUACUUUGUGGAACUGUUGAAAGGAGAAUCAGAGGGACUAUUAAAACUUCCUACGGACAAGGCUUUACUUGAAGAUCCUGAGUUCCGCAAAUAUGUGGAAUUGUAUGCAAAAAAUGAAGAUGCAUUCUUCAAAGAUUAUGCUGAAUCACACAAGAAACUUUCAGAGCUAGGGUUCACUCCAGGUUCUGGCAGGGCAAUUGUGAAGGACAGCACUGUAUUGGCACAGGGUGCCGUUGGAGUUGCGGUUGCAGCUGCUGUGGUAAUUCUGAGCUACUUAUAUGAAAUUCGCAAAAAAUUGAAGUAAUUACAGUAGCAAGGUCGAUUAGUUGUCUAUAAAGCAAUCAAUAUUGAGUUCAUUUCUAGACCUGGGAAAUUGUGCUCUUGAGAUUUGAUGCCUUAUACUGAUUCUAUGUAUUAGCUUCAU
rnacentral:misc_RNA from 1 species